GGAAUGUGGCUCAGUGGUAGAGUGCUUGCCAACAUGCAUGAAGCCCUGGGUUCAAUUCCCAGUACCA
rnacentral:tRNA from 1 species